AAGAAUAAGAAUAUGAUGUUGGUUCAGAUUAAGCGCUAAAUAAGGACAUGACACAUGCGAAUCAUACGUUUAUUAUUGAUAAGAUAAUAAAUAUGUGGUGUAAACGUGAGUAAUUUUAUUAGGAAUAAUGAACUAUAGAAUAAGCUAAAUACUUAAUAAAUAUUUAUAUAAAAAUUUUAUUUAUAUAAUAAAAAAGAAUAUAUUAUAUAUAUUUAUCUAUAGUCAAGCCAAUAAUGGUUUAGGUAGUAGGUUUAUUAAGAGUUAAACCUAGCCAACGAUCCAUAAUCGAUAAUGAAAGUUAGAACGAUCACGUUGACUCUGAAAUAUAGUCAAUAUCUAUAAGAUACAGCAGUGAGGAAUAUUGGACAAUGAUCGAAAGAUUGAUCCAGUUACUUAUUAGGAUGAUAUAUAAAUAAUUUAUAAAAAUUUUAUAAAAAAUAAAUAAAUAAUAUAUAUAUAUAAAUUGAUUAAAAAUAAAAUCCAUAAAUAAUUAAAAUAAUGAUAUUAAUUACCAUAUAUAAUAAUGGAUAUAUAAUAAUUAUAAUAUUUAAUAUAUUAUAAUAUAAUUAUAUAUUUUAAUAGUCCUGACUAAUAUUUGUGCCAGCAGUCGCGGUAACACAAAGAGGGCGAGCGUUAAUCAUAAUGGUUUAAAGGAUCCGUAGAAUGAAUUAAUUAUAUAAUUUAGAGUUAAUAAAUUUAAUUAAAGAAUUAUAAUAGUAAAGAUGAAAUAAUAAUAAUAAUUAUAAGACUAAUAUAUGUGAAAAUAUUAAUUAAAUAUUAACUGACAUUGAGGGAUUAAAACUAGAGUAGCGAAACGGAUUCGAUACCCGUGUAGUUCUAGUAGUAAACUAUGAAUACAAUUAUUUAUAAUAAAAAUAUAUAUAUAAAUAAUAAAUGAAAAUGAAAGUAUUCCACCUGAAGAGUACGUUAGCAAUAAUGAAACUCAAAACAAUAGACGGUUACAGACUUAAGCAGUGGAGCAUGUUAUUUAAUUCGAUAAUCCACGACUAACCUUACCAUAUUUUGAAUAUUAUAAUAAUUAUUUUAAUUAUUAUAUUACAGGCGUUACAUUGUUGUCUUUAGUUCGUGCUGCAAAGUUUUAGAUUAAGUUCAUAAACGAACAAAACUCCAUAUAUAUAAUUUUAAUUAUAUAUAAUUCUAUAUUAUUUAUUAAUAUAAAGAAAGGAAUUAAGACAAAUCAUAAUGAUCCUUAUAAUAUGGGUAAUAGACGUGCUAUAAUAAAAUGAUAAUAAAAUUAUAUAAAAUAUAUAUAAAAUAUAUUUAAUUAAUAAUAUAAAACAUUUUAAUUUUUAAUAUAUUUUUAUAUUAUAUAUUAAUAUGAAUUAUAAUCUGAAAUUCGAUUAUAUGAAAAAAGAAUUGCUAGUAAUACGUAAAUUAGUAUGUUACGGUGAAUAUUCUAACUGUUUCGCACUAAUCACUCAUCACGCGUUGAAACAUAUUAUUAUCUUAUUAUUUAUUAAUAAUUUUUAAAUAACUUUUUAUUAAUUAAUAUUAAUAUAUAUCAGAAAUAAUAUGAAUUAAUGCGAAGUUGAAAUACAGUUACCGUAGGGGAACCUGCGGUGGGCUUAUAAAUAUC
rnacentral:ncRNA from 1 species